rnacentral:lncRNA from 1 species
UCUCUGCAGACACCAGCCUGGUGUCCUCCUUCAUCCCAGGCUGCCAGGCUAGGCAGGGGACAGCGGCUGCCCUGGUCCUCACAGCCCUGGCUACGGGGCUGGUGACAGCCAGAUCCUCAUGCUUCUGCGACCUGAGCGCUGCCUUCAGACACCUCUCUGCUGGCGUGUUCCUGGGUCCAUGAUGGAAGAAGGAAAAGUAUUUUUAAAAGACAAUCUGAAGCUCAUACUGUGACUGCAACAUAAAAUGUGUUCACCUGAGGAGACUGCUUUCAUCGCCAGUGUGUCACAGGGCAGCUGAUCCAGGACCGUCCACUUCCAAGCCAGCAGGAGGAUGGAAAAGCAGAAUGGAGGGGAAACAACCUCCUUUGCAGGGCGUGACUCGGAAGUUGGACACAUCAUUUCCAGCCACAUUCCAUGGACCAGAAUUAGCCCUGUGACCAACUCUGGCUGCCAGAAAAUCUGGGAAAUACAGUCUCUGCUUGGGCGAUCAGGCAGGCAGUUAUAUCUUUGGGAACAUCUCUCACCCCCUGGGAACACCUGAGCAGAAACUGAAGGACAUUUAACAGAUUCUCCUUUGUGUCUAAUAAGAAUUGCCCCCAUCAGUCGGGGCUGUCCUAGGUGCUGGGUACAUAGGUCAUCUAUACACAACCCAGCAAUGGAGAGCACACCAUUCCCAGGCUGCAGAUGCAGAAACUGUGGCUCGGAGAGUUAAGCGUCUUGUUCAGAUUCAGUCAGCUGGUAGAUGGCAGGUCUGGGAUUGAGACCCAGGCCUGGCUGGUCCUGCCAGGACACAGUAUCACAGCUUUGACUGGGAGCUUCUUUUUGUUUACAUAUAUUUUUUAUGCUCAAUGUGCAUUCCUUUUGAAAUACACAGAAAAGGGAAAGAA